CAGUAGCCGCGGUAAUACGUAGGUGGCAAGCGUUGUCCGGAAUUAUUGGGCGUAAAGGGCUCGCAGGCGGUUUCUUAAGUCUGAUGUGAAAGCCCCCGGCUCAACCGGGGAGGGUCAUUGGAAACUGGGAAACUUGAGUGCAGAAGAGGAGAGUGGAAUUCCACGUGUAGCGGUGAAAUGCGUAGAGAUGUGGAGGAACACCAGUGGCGAAGGCGACUCUCUGGUCUGUAACUGACGCUGAGGAGCGAAAGCGUGGGGAGCGAACAGGAUUAGAUACCCCCGUAGUCCAUGUCUCUUAUAC
rnacentral:rRNA from 1 species